rnacentral:rRNA from 1 species
UACGAAGGGUGCGAGCGUUAUUCGGAAUGAUUGGGCGUAAAGGGUGCGCAGGCGGCAUGUUAAGUCAACUGUUAAAUAUUCUGGCCUAACUGGAAUUCAGCAGUAGAAACUGGCGUGCUUGAGGGUGGAAGAGAGAAGUGGAAUUCUCGGAGUAGCGGUAAAAUGCGUAGAUCUCGAGAGGAACACCGAUGGCGAAGGCAGCUUCUUGGUCCAUACCUGACGCUCAUGCACGAAAGCGUGGGGAGCAAAC